UGGUGCGCGCACGGGAGCCCCGGCCGGGGCUGAGAGGGCGUACGCCGACCGUCGAACCUGAUCUGGGUCAUGCCAGCGAAGGGAGCACCAGUGGACUCGUC
rnacentral:ncRNA from 2 species